rnacentral:rRNA from 1 species
UACAGAGGUCCCAAGCGUUGCUCGGAUUCACUGGGCGUAAAGGGUGCGUAGGUGGUUGGGUAAGUUUGAUGUGAAAUCUCCGGGCUUAACCCGGAAAGGUCAACUGAUACUGCAGGGCUAGAGUGCAGAAGGGGCAACUGGAAUUCUCGGUGUAGCGGUGAAAUGCGUAGAUAUCGAGAGGAACACCUGCGGCGAAGGCGGGUUGCUGGGCUGACACUGACGCUGAGCCGCGAAAGCCAGGGGAGCGAACGGG